GACGAACGCUGGCGGCGUGCUUAACACAUGCAAGUCGAACGGAAAGGCCCUGCUUGCAGGGUACUCGAGUGGCGAACGGGUGAGUAACACGUGGGUGAUCUGCCCUGCACUUCGGGAUAAGCUUGGGAAACUGGGUCUAAUACCGGAUAGGAACCAGCGUUAGUGUGGUGGUUGGAAAGUUUUUUCGGUGUAGGAUGAGCUCGCGGCCUAUCAGCUUGUUGGUGGGGUAAUGGCCUACCAAGGCGGCGACGGGUAGCCGGCCUGAGAGGGUGUACGGCCACAUUGGGACGGAGCUACGGCCAAGACUCCUGAGGGAGGCAGCAGGGGGGAAUAUUGCACAAUGGGCGGCAGCCUGAUGCAGCGACGCCGCGUGGGGGAUGAAGGCCUUCGGGUUGUAAACUCCUUUCGCUAGGGACGAAGCUUUGUUGUGACGGUACCUAGAUAAGAAGCACCGGCUAACUACGUG
rnacentral:rRNA from 1 species